CCAGGAUGGACCGUAUCAGGAGACUCUCCGCUCUCUGGAGAAGGAUGUCGUCUAUGGUCCUGCCGUCCGUGUCCUCCUCGGCGGGGAUGCCCUGUCCUCCGCACACCGCCAAGUUGAAGAGCACGAGAGAAGCCAAGAUGAGGAGGCACGUCGACUUCAUGGCAAUUGUGGUGAACAGGAAGCUUCUGCAAAGAACAGCUACAUCCAGUGUGUGUAUUCUGAUGGAUGCUGCUGUGUCACGAAGACAUUAGAUCACUGGACAGCCCUGUCAUUGUCUUGCUGCCUUGCCACCCUGCCAACCAAAUGCCUGCCUGCUGCCAUACUGACGGAGCUGAGGAACAGUGAGACUGACAGUCAGGAUGACUCACCAGCCCCAAACGACUUCUUUAAAGACACCCCUACACGAUCAACAUCCGCAACACAUCCAAAACAGGAACAGGACCAAAUCUGGAGAACUGAAAGUAUGUUGUAAGAUUUUGAUUUCAAUUUUUCAAUUCUAUCCAUCAUGUACACAUAAUACCACAAAACAGCAAUGACAAGAUAAAAACUCCAAUCACCCAAAACAAUUUAAAGUGCUAUUGUCAUUUUUCUCCCCAUGUGGUUUCUAAGAAGACUGAUUUAUCAUUUUUCUUAAAGCUAUUGCUUUUCCAUGCCUACAUAAAAAUCUAUUUUCCCCUCCAGAACUUUAGAGACAGGAAUUGCAUAUACAGUAAUUUGUGGCUGUAGGGAAGGGUAUCAAGGACAUUUGAGUCAC